rnacentral:rRNA from 1 species
AUGAUUAAUUUUGGAGGUGUGCCUUCUGAUAUUAGGGAUUCCAUUUGGGAAAUUAAAGUUCCCCCGAAUAUACAUGUAUUCUUUUGGCUCAUUUUUAAUAACAAAAGUUUGACUAGAGAUAAUUUGGCCAAAAGAAGGCAUGUAGAUAAUGCUUCUUGUGUGUUCUGCACUGAGCUUGAAACUACCCAACAUUUAUUCUUUGAUUGCACUGUGGCAAGAGAGAUCUGGUCUAUUGUUGCUGACUGUUUUUGCAUUCCAGUUCCCGAUUCUUUUGAAUCUUUAAAACCUUUGUGGAAUCAUAAAAAGAAAAAUGAAGCUGUUAACUUGGUUAUUUUUGCCACCUUGUGGGGCUUAUGGUUGAUGCGAAAUGACUUUGUUUUUCAGGGGCGAAAACGAUGA